GCGGGUGUGGCGGAAUUGGCAGACGCGCUAGAUUUAGGAUCUAGUGUCCAACGUGUGGGUUCGAGUCCCUCCACCCGUACCA
rnacentral:tRNA from 1 species